rnacentral:rRNA from 1 species
UACGAAGGGGGCUAGCGUUGUUCGGAUUUACUGGGCGUAAAGCGCACGUAGGCGGACUAUUAAGUCAGGGGUGAAAGCCCGGGGCUCACCUCCGGAAGUGCGCUUGAAACUGGUCGGCUAGAGUACGGGAGAGGGAAGCGGAAUUCCUGGUGUAGCGGUGAAAUGCGUAGAUAUCAGGAGGAACACCGGCGGCGAAAGCGACUCUCUGGACGGCAACUGACGCUGAGGAGCGAAAGCGUGGGUAGCAAACAGG